CCCACAUUUGUAAGUCUACUGCAUUUACCAACCGGAACGCAGCCUUAAUGGCCUCGUUGGCCGCUACCGCAUCGAGGGCGGAUCGGCUCCAGGCCUUCCUCCGGUCUCCCGAUAUUCCCGCCUCUUUUUACACCAACACCACAGCAGAUGACAACCUGAUCGCAGUCACCACGCAGUUUGACAUCCUGUACCACAAGUACUUUCCUGACCGCAAGCCACUGUUUCUCUUGCCGAAUAACGAGUGUCAGCGGCCAAAGAUGAUAUGCUCGUUUGUGCGACCAACGUCGCUGCCGUACGACGAACUUUUUGACUUGGAGGGGGCCUGCCAGUUUGUGGCCGACUACGUGCGCUACGAGCCUCUCUACGAUCCAUCCAUGUACGACGACGAGUACGACGACACAGUGGAGCAACUCCCGCAGCAAAUUGUCUCGCCCGCAACGGCGCUGGACUGGCAGGUUGGAAACUGCUUUGAAAUGUCCCUCGUGCUCACAUCUUUUCUCAUUGGCGCCGGAUUCAACGCCUACGUUGUCGUCGGUUCCGCAACCAAGGCUGUUUGCUUGUCUGAUCAGAAAAGCACCAUGUGGGAAGGCGAGCUGCCCAAGGAGGUCAACUCCGAUGAUGAAGUGGAAGAUGACAUGCCACAAAAUAACCCGUAUAUGGCCCUGAUUCCAGAGAAGCUGACGCUGCGACUGACGACAGAUCCCGACCCAGCAUCAGUCAGAAAGAAGGAAAGCGUCAUGGCCAGUGCCGGUGACUAUCCCAAGGACACCGACACCCCAAAUGUGCGAGGCGGUGCUGUCAAGCCAAUUCACUCCUGGGUGCUCGUCCUGCCUGGCGGCAGGCGGUCUGUCUCCAAGGCGGUUUUUGUGGAGCCCUCCACGGGGCAGCUGAUAGCCUUCUCUGCCACUGACAGUCGGUACACCUCGGUCGAGGCGCUCUUCAACCACCAAGACUACCACGUGAACAUGCGACCUGAGGCUCCCGUGAGCUCCCUCUCCCCCGACUUAGCCGAUCGAAGCCAGUGGGAAAGCCUCUUUUCGUAUGCGAACCUUAGCGACGACGAGGUGGAGAGCCUCACCGGUACCUUAUCGGCGACACGGCGCGCCUUCACAAGCGAGCUGGCCGCGACCACGACCGCCGCCACAGUGAGCACGGUCGAAGUAUUCGACUCGUCAAGGAGUCGACGCAUGUAUAUUCCCAAUCUGUGGUCGAACGAGCUGAUCUUGAACCGCCACCAGUACGAAAGCCGCUACCCCGCUGGAUACAAGGAAAUCACGUACGUCAACGCCGUGGUGCGCCGCUACGCACCCUACUCGCAGAGCGACUAUCGAAUUUUGGAGGUGGUAGUGCCAGACGCUGAGUACGCCGAGUUGCACGAGACGCACGUCUUCUACGCUCACCGUGCCGACAAGCUCCGCCGCGCCACUGUCUUUCCCUCACCCGCCCCGCAGUCGUCUUCCAAGGAGUCAUUGAUCUUAUCCAGCCGGUCGUCGGUAUCACUGGAGAAGGUCCCGGGAGGGCCCCGCAAGAUGGUGGAGUGGUACGAAAAGGGCCGCAUGCACAACACGUCCGUCGAGGGCCUUCGGGAGCUCAUCUACGAGCCUGGCAAGCAGCGGACCAUGAAGUUCUACUGGAGAGCGCGCAGCGACGGCCUGUACUGCCGCACGGAGCUGCUGUACGACGCGAGCACGCUACGUAAGGUAAAGGAGCUCUACAAGGGUCGGAGCGACCGACUGUGGUACCGCAGCUUCAGCUACGGUCGCCCAUCCACGAUGCGUGAGAGAGACAUGCACAGCCUCAUUGUGCAGGGCCCUGGGAACGUCUCAGCAUUGCAUGUAUACCCACGACUGGAUCCGGUGCGCAUCAGUCAAAAGUUUCUGCGCGAUGAAAGUGUGCCGGCACGCAAGGACGUGGCCAAGACGACCUUUCUGCGCCCUGCGUCGGAGAGCAAGAGUGGUGGCAACAACAGCGCCCCCACGGUGGGGGAAAUAUGGGUAUUCUUUCACUACGACGCGGGCAGCAUCCUCCGUCCAUAUCACAUGUUCGCAAAGCCGUCGUCCUCGGUGGAGGAGUACAUCGCCGCCUCCGCUGCGGGCAAGCCGGCAGAGCCGCCGAUGCGGGUGGUCUCGCUGCCCGGCGAGGAGCCGCCAAGCGAGCUCGACCUGUACAAUGAGCGCAAGUGGCUGAACGCUGUGGAGACGGCGUGCUUGAUGGAGCAGCGGGUGAUGUCAGACGAGUGCAUGGACAUUCUCAAGAGCAUCGAGCAGGAACACAAGAAGCCGCAGCACGUCCUCAGUGUGUACGACACGCUGCGCAAUAGGCCGAAGGAGACGGAGGCAGAGCGCGCAAGGAAGCUCGCCGAGGCAGCCCGUCGCGAGGAGUCGCGCAAGGACUACCUUGCCCCCUACAUCGCCAAGCUCGAGAUGCCGGCCGACUUCGACGGCAACUAUCUCAGCGUCCUCUUGUCGAUGGAACAGGCGAAGCAGGUGAGAGACGAAGCGCUGCAGGAACUGAAGGAUCGGCUCAUCCAGCGAGGCCACAUUAUGCAGAGUCGCAUGGACAAGGAAAAGGUGGAAUUCAACAAGCGGCAGCAGCUGUACCGCAAAAACUGUGAUGCAUCAGCGCUGGAGGGCGACAAGGAGACCGAGGCCUUUGCCCUCUACUGCAAGGAGGCGACAUGGCGUAUGAAGGUGCUGGAUGAGCGGCUGCUGCAGCACAUCGAUCAUGCGAGUGAAAAGUACAAUCAACUAGCCCAGCGACUCGCCGAAGACCCGCGUCUCGCCGCCUUGUACCACCCCACUCACUGAGAGAGACACCGAGGAACCCGCAUAUGGUACGUGGGUACGUGCUUGCCUCCCUCAGCGAAGGCGCGUUCGUCGGUGUGUCUGUGACUGCGAGCCUCUGUACGGGCUCAUCAACCUUGCCUGACGCGCUCUCGCGUUUCUCAGUGUCGCGGAUGGCGUUCGUCAUACUUGUUGUUUUCUCCUUCUGCUCCCUUUAUGUACAACUAGCCCCCCCCCCUCCCUCCUGUGGGCAGGUGUGCGUCAUGGAUCACAAGUGCGACCGUAGGAGCAAUGACAAGGGAUGGCGAGUGAGAGCGGUGGCAUGCACGCAGCCAAGGUUGUUUCGACGGCAGCGGCACGUAUGUGCAGACGUAUAUACACACAUAGACGCAUAUACAUGUAUAUAUAUAUAUAUGUACGUCUGCGUGUUUUCCUUUGCGCUGGUUGGAUGUUGAUUAGAUCCUUGAGAACGCACGGCAACGAAAGGACGAAACAAAACAACACUGCAUCACAUGACGUGUGGUUCCACUCCCGCGCCCCCGCUCCCAGAUCCACAUAGACACACAGCGGGAGGAGGAUGAGAGGGGAAGGGGAAGAAGAUAGGUGCAGCAGACAGUCGUGAGAGAUU
rnacentral:misc_RNA from 1 species